UACGUAGGGGGGCAAGCGUUGUCCGGAUUUAUUGGGCGUAAAGAGCGUGUAGGCGGUUUGGUAGGUCCGCUGUGAAAACUCGAGGCUCAACCUCGAGACGCCGGUGGAAACCAUCAGACUAGAGUCCGGAAGAGGAGAGUGGAAUUCCUGGUGUAGCGGUGAAAUGCGCAGAUAUCAGGAAGAACACCCGUGGCUAAGGCGGCUCUCUAGUACGGUACUGACGCUGAGACGCGAAAGCGUGGGGAGCAAACAGG
rnacentral:rRNA from 1 species